GGGUGCUUAGCUCAGUGGUAGAGCGUCUGUUUUACACACAGAAGGUCGGGGGUUCGAUACCCUCAGCACCCA
rnacentral:tRNA from 2 species